rnacentral:rRNA from 1 species
UACGUAGGGUGCGAGCGUUAAUCGGAAUUACUGGGUUUAAAGGGUGUGUAGGCGGGCUUUUAAGUCAGUGGUGAAAUCUCCGGGCUCAACCCGGAAACUGCCAUUGAUACUAUUAGUCUUGAAUUUUGUUGAGGUAGGCGGAAUAAGUCAUGUAGCGGUGAAAUGCUUAGAUAUGACUUAGAACACCAAUUGCGAAGGCAGCUUGCUAAACAAACAUUGACGCUGAGGCACGAAAGCGUGGGGAUCAAACAGG